AUGGGUGGACCUGAUCAGCCAUGCCGCGUGUGUGAAGAAGGCCUUAUGGUUGUAAAGCACUUUAAGCGAGGAGGAGGCUACUUUAGUUAAUACCUAGAGAUAGUGGACGUUACUCGCAGAAUAAGCACCGGCUAACUCUGUGCCAGCAGCCGCGGUAAU
rnacentral:rRNA from 1 species